UGCAAUUGGAACCCUAAUCCAUCACCUGCUACGAUAAGUUCAACUUCAUCGCUUAUCCAUUUUUGAGAAAAUUUUGAUAAUAUCCAAUAUCCACUGUUCAUCAACAUCGGUUGAAGCUCGUCUUGGUUUGACCUGUGCAAAGCGUUGCAGCUGCUCGAACUUCAAAACUGCUUUAAGACCACCCGUAGUGGAGUUUUUUUUUGGUGUUUUUCUCCAAAAAAAAAAAACGCCCAAACACGCCUUGGGACCGCCCCGGGAGCAUCUUUCUUGAAAAAAAAGGGUGGGGCAUCCUAUUUUAAACGCCUGCACUUGAUUUUUUGGCCAAUAAGACUGUUGCCAACGCCUGGACUUGAUGUUUUGGCCAAUAGUUUUAAUUUGAAAAAAAGAGUAAUUGGGUAUUGAUUGGUUGGGGCAUUAUACCACUAGAACCGUUUUAAGAUAACGCCCCAUAAUGCCCACAUGCUGACUGGACCGCCACAUGGCACAAAACGCCAAAGGGUAGGGGUGUUAUCUUCCCCUCCCACUACACAUGUUCUUAGUUCAAUAAACUCAUUUAAUUUAAUGACUGAAUCCAACUAUACCAUAUGAGGCAGUACGUAAAACCUUCUUUUAUGAUUUUUAUAUUAUGUUACUAUGGUUGACUUUUGACUUUGGUUUUGUAAUACCCCGAAUCUUAAUGUGCUGGUUAUAAACGUGUGAAAUAUGUAAUUUAUAUUUCAUAUAUUGUUAAACGAGUAAGAUAAUUGUGUGAAAGGUGAAAUAUCUUGACAAACCUUGGCUAAUAUAGGAGACCGUUAAUAUUAAUAAUUAAAUAUAUUUUUUUAUUUACCUUACUCCGUUUUUAAUGAAACUUAGGUUAAAACGUAGAUAAAAAUAUGCUCGUUCUAAUGACAUAUUCGUCGUUUUAUAAAACGUCAUACUUUAAAAGUUAUACAAGAAAAACGAGUUAAGCAGCUGAAUUAAUAUAUAUAAGCAAGCAAGCUAGCAGGUCAAGCAGGUAGGUAGGCACGUCAAUUGAAUCCACAAAAAGGAUUUGAGGUGCCUGCUUGCUUGCUUUAAAUAAGAGUCUCAGUAGUUUGUUUAGGUACCAGUUUCUUUUACGGGAAUGCUCUAGUAUAGAGAAUCCUGAGUAUACGAUACCCCGUUGGGUGUUGUUAAUAGUCGUUUUUGGAGCGCGAGUAGGAGCAGGAGUAGGGAAACUCUACAUCAACGUGCCGUAGAUAGUUUUGAGGACCUUGAGACAUAACCCAGUUGUACUAGCGGCAGUUAAGCAAUUGCUAAUCAGGGUGUGCCAAGUUACUAUGUUGGUUUUGCUACUGUUUCAUUGAUGGACAAGAGAGUUGAAGCCAUGUGAGAGUUCGAACCCACCACCAGCCAACUGUUGAAACUCCCGCUCGCUAUUGUCCCUUUUGUGCCUGAAGAUGUUGUCUUUGUUGUUGGUGCCCUCUCUGGUGCUACUGCCAAAAUAAUUAUUGCCCAUCUUGACCGGAUUAAACUCACCUUGCAGGGAUUAUGCUUUUGGAAUGUUAUAAGAGGUUGGUUGUUGUUAUGGCUGGUGAGUUAAAUAUGUUGGGGGAGGGCUAUGAUUAUUGGCAUGAAGUUGCUGCUUAGAAUGAAUAUUUAAGCAUGGGUUUGGUUUGGUUUGGUUUGGUUUGGUUUUAGUUUCCAACGGUUCAGUUUCGGAAUCAAACCGUAAACACCCCUAGUGGGUAUGGUUAGUUGUAUUUUGUAUAGGUUGGAUGUGCUAAAAGGUUGCUGAUUGGGGCUGCUAUGGGGGAAUAGAGGUCAAGACUACUAGGAAGUUUGAAGAGAAGAUUUAUCUCUUAUAAGUUCGGUUAAUUUGUUUUUUUAUUAUUGUUUCUCUGUUUGAGUGCUUUUAAGAGGUUAAUGAUUCCAGUUCUACCCCUCUUGUAAUGUAAAAAGAAUGUAGCAUAUCGUCCAAUUUUUUUAUGAAUGGGUCGUUUGGGUUGUAUUC
rnacentral:lncRNA from 1 species